rnacentral:rRNA from 1 species
GACAGAGGGUGCAAACGUUGUUCGGAAUUACUGGGCGUAAAGCGUGUGUAGGCGGCUUGGCAAGUCGGAUGUGAAAGCCCUGGGCUCAACCCAGGAAGUGCACUCGAUACUGCCGAGCUUGAGUAUCGGAGAGGUGGGUGGAAUUCUCGGUGUAGAGGUGAAAUUCGUAGAUAUUCGCAAGAACACCAGUGGCGAAGGCGGCUCACUGGCCCGAUACUGACGCUGAGGCACGAAAGCGUGGGGAGCAAACAGG